rnacentral:rRNA from 1 species
GUCCACGCAGUAAACGAUGGAUACUAACUGUUUGCGAUAGAAUGUAAGUGGUACAGCGAAAGCGUUAAGUAUCCCACCUGGGGAGUACGCCGGCAACGGUGAAACUCAAAGGAAUUGACGGGGGCCCGCACAAGCGGAGGAACAUGUGGUUUAAUUCGAUGAUACGCGAGGAACCUUACCCGGGCUCAAACGCCUCAGUAAUAUAUAUGAAAGUAUAUAGCCGCAAGGACUGAGGCGAGGUGCUGCAUGGUUGUCGU